UCGGAGAUGUCGCGGUAGUCUGGCUGGGGCAACGGGUUGUCAUGGUUACCAGGCCGGUCCCCGUUACAUCAUUUCCGCCCCGCCGCCGGAGGCCGGAAGGAUGCCGGAGCUUGCAGGCAACGUGACGGGGGACGCCCGCUGGUGAGGGAGGCCCAUGGGGAGUCAGGAAUGGAUCAUAUGAUUAGCAGAGCACACGGACCUGAAAGUGGCAGCAUUCUUCCUGUGCAAUUUGAUAAGGAUUGUCCACAAUAAAUACAUUCCAUUCCUGUUA